GAGCAUGGGGUUUGUGUUUCUUGGACAGGCUUACUUUUCCUGAAGGAAUGUUAACUGCUUUCUGCUGCUCGCUCAGCAGUGGAGCUCUCUGAAUCAAACAUCAUCUUUUCUUUGUUUUAGGCAGAAAGUGAGGAUCAAGAUGAGUUUAUUAAUGGCUUUGGGAAUCCUUAGUCUGGACUCUGCCAUGCCUUGCAAACAGAAAGAUGCCACGUGAAUUCUGGAGCUACAGAAGUUUUGUGACAGCAGAUGACCACCUCCACUGACUUCCAGCCUUGUGUGUGCACAUAGGGCCAACAGGAGAGUCCACCCACUUGUAGAAGUGUGGGUGUUCAAGGAGCUUGAAAACAGCAGCCUGGAAUGUGGAGUUCUAACGCACUCGGAAAUGCUUCCAUUGCCCUUCUUCCCCAUCAGAAAUACUGCUUGGUUCCAUAGUACGGCAGGGGAGUAGCUGUUCACUGAAAAUGAAUAAUCCUGGAAUGAAGUUCAGGGUAGAGUGUCACUCUAGAAAGAGAAGUGGCCUUAUGGGCAGUCUUUGAACUUAGUAUGAAUUUUUGAGUGUAUCAAAUAAAUGGAUCAAAAGUGAUUAAGACAGAAAUUAAAAUGUGGGAAAACUUGUGUUGUCUGUAGCAGUGGGUAUCAGUAAAAUUUUGGAUUUCUGUUGUCAGUAACUUUUAUUUUUUUUGGUGAUGCUAUGGGAACAGUAGCACUCUGAUCCUGCUGGAUUACAUCCUGGGUAGAAGUAACACAAGCCUUAAGUAUUCAGCUUGUCCAGAUUUGACAGAAAAUUGUACAACUUUACAGCAGCUUUUUUUAUUUAAUGUGUAUCUCUCAGAGGCAGGGCUUGCUGAGGAUUAUGUCCAAUGCUAUAUCCUUACUAGGAAAAUGAAGCACAGGAAAGCUCAUAGCUGGGGAAGCAUACUGUGCCCUAAACACCUCAUCUCCUACCAUGCAUUCUUCAUUUGUUUUUACAGUGAGGUAGAGUUGAACUCAUUGAGCUACCUGCCUACCAGGUUAUCUAAUGUUUUUUUUACCUGACUGUAGCACUCUACUAUUCCCUGCACUCUAUAUAAAAUAAUGUGGAAAGACUGGGUUUUGCAGGUUGGGGUGGUUUGGUGGGUUUCUUUUGUGGUUUGUUUGUUUUGCAGGCUUUUUUGUUUUGCUUGGGUUUUGGUUGCAGAAGCAUCUGACAGCCUUGUCUAAUCUCACCUUGCUGUAAUGCAAUUAAAAAAAAGAACAAAAACCACAGAACAUGAAGCAGUAUGAUAAUACUUUUAUACAUUUCCAAAUCUAUACACCAUGAGUAAGUACAGACUGUUGACUUAAACUAUGAAAAGAAAAGUUUUAAUGUUCUUAAAACUCUUUAACCCUUUGGGUGAUACAUUUGAAAGGAAGAAACAAGAAAAACUGCAGAACUCAGGUAGCUGAAAUAAAAUACUAUAUUCUGAACUGGCGAUUUAAUUUUCAGUUGUAGUCUUAUUAAAAAUUCUGAAUCCUAAAUUACUCCUUGCUUAACUGUGAAUGGAGAGUGGUAGCCAGGAAGGGAAGUUCUGGUUAGGACUCUAUGACCUUGGCUUUCCAGUGUGAGGGCAUCCCUCCUGCCUUCAAAUAACUCACAAAACUUGUAAUUCAAGUCCGGUUAGCUAUGCUUUAUUACUUGGUAAAACAUCACUGAACUGUCUUCUAAGUUUUUAGUAAUUCUGUAUUUCUAACUGUAGCCUCUCAAAAAGCCAAAGCCUGAGGCUUUACUUCAAGUGGAGUUUUUAUUCUUCAUGAGUGUUAAUAUGAAUUCCUGGGCUAUAGGCAGCAAUAAACUUCAGCAGUUGAUGGUGACACUGGAUGAGGUAAAUAUCUCUCUGUUGCAGCGAGUUUUCAUCACUGAGGUCAAAUGGAAAUACAGGAUUUGGUGCUACACAUAAUGCAGAUGUGCCUAGGCAAAGAAGAAAUUAAGCUUUAAGACUUGUUUGCCACUACUUUGAGGGGAAAAAAGAGCUGUGAUGCAAAUUACUUAGUAAUGCAAUCCUAGAUCAUAAUUCUUAUCUCACAUCAAAUCUGUGUGUGAGCAAAUAUGACUGAUGCUUAAUAAACAAAAAAAAACCUCCAACCCUUGCUUUUGGUUUCCCCAGGGAGGGAAAUCUGUCCUUCGUGUAACCUGAGCCAGUGUUAGAGUAGCAGUGCUUUAAAUAAACCAGUAUGAAGGACAGACUUGGUGCUGGCCUGUGACCUUGUUACAUACAGCACUGGACAAACGGACAGACUUCUCCAAUACCAGUCUUCAGUGGAAGUUCUGGAUUUUGAUUUGAAACCUGCUAUUACAAUCAAUGGAUGUAGAAUGUUUUCAGACUGACAAAAUGUGACAGUGAUGCACCCAAGAUUAAGGAACUGUUGUGCAUUAUUUACCAUGUUUUAGGGUCAGUGAUGACUCCAGUAACAAGAUGGCAAUCACUGCGUCUUCCUCAAGUACUGUCUCUCUUAAACUGAGCUUGGCAUGAGCCUUAGCCAGUGAAA